rnacentral:rRNA from 1 species
UAUGUGAUCGUCUCUCGCAUAUCAAUAAGCGGAGGAAAAGAAACUAACAAGGAUUCCCCUAGUAACGGCGAGUGAAGCGGGAAGAGCUCAAAUUUGAAAUCUUAAAGGGUUUCCCUUUACGAAUUGUAGUUUAAAGAAGUGUUUUCUGUUGAGGUUUUGGUAAAAGUUCUUUGGAAUAGGACAUCAUAGAGGGUGAGAAUCCCGUAUUUGACCUUUACUUUCAACUUUGUGAUACACUUUCAAAGAGUCGGAUUGUUUGGGAAUGCAGUCCAAAAUGGGUGGUAAAUUUCAUCUAAAGCUAAAUAUUGGCGAGAGACCGAUAGCGAACAAGUACCGUGAGGGAAAGAUGAAAAGAACUUUGAAAAGAGAGUUAAACAGUACGUGAAAUUGUCAAAAGGGAAGCGUUUGACACCAGUGUUGUUUUUCUGAAAAUCAAUUAAAGAACUGUUUAUGCUAAGCUGUUUAGACUUUAUCAGCUAUCUGUUUAGUUUUGAGCUUUUCUUUAAUGCACUUUUCAGUUAACAAGUCAACAUCAAUUUCUUUUGCUGUAAAAAAGCUUGAGGAAGGUGGCUUGAGAUUCGUCUUAAGUGUUUAUAGCCUCUUGCCUAUGCAGUCGGAGAGAUUGAGGUCUGCAGCGUAGAUCCUUCGGGGCUAAAUGCAUUUGUGCUAAGUUAUAGCAUUUUAUAGACAACUUGUUGACUAUGAUUUGUCUUGUAGCUUACUCGCUUAUGCUAUUUUACCUACGCUUAGGAUGUUGAAGUCAUCGUAUCGCGC